GUCAAUGGCCAUACCACCCUGAACGCACCUGAUCUCGUCUGAUCUCAGAAGCUAAGCAGGGUCGGGCCUGGUUAACACUUGGAUGGGAGACCACCUGGGAAUACCAGGUGCUGUAGGCC
rnacentral:rRNA from 2 species